UACGUAGGGUGCGAGCGUUAAUCGGAAUUACUGGGCGUAAAGCGUGCGCAGGCGGUGAUGUAAGACAGGUGUGAAAUCCCCGGGCUUAACCUGGGAACUGCAUUUGUGACUGCAUCGCUGGAGUGCGGCAGAGGGGGAUGGAAUUCCGCGUGUAGCAGUGAAAUGCGUAGAGAUGUGGAGGAAUACCGAUGGCGAAGGCAGCCCCCUGGGUCAAUACUGACGCUCAUGCACGAAAGCGUGGGGAGCAAACAGG
rnacentral:rRNA from 1 species